rnacentral:rRNA from 1 species
AGCGAACGCUGGCGGCAGGCUUAAUACAUGCAAGUCGAGCGCCCGUAGCAAUACGGGAGCGGCAGACGGGUGAGUAACACGUGGGAACAUGCCCUUCGGUUCGGAAUAACUCAGGGAAACUUGAGCUAAUACCGAAUACGCCUACGGGAAAGGAUUAUCGCCGAAGGAUUGGCCCGCGUCCGAUUAGCUAGUUGGUGAGGUAAUGGCUCACCAAGGCGACGAUCGGUAGCUGGUCNGAGAGGAUGAUCAGCCACACUGGGACUGAGACA